AGUUCGUUUGAUGAGCAUGUCUUUAUUUCAUUUUCGUUAAUAUUUCAAUUUUUUUUGGUUGGUUUGAGGGGGUGGAUUCUACCAACCACUUUCAUUUUUCCUAUCCAAAUAUGUUUUUUACUUUUCUAUCUUAUUUUUUCACUAUAGCACAUUAGCACUCUAGAUUAUAUUGCUUUGUUAGAGCAAAACAGAUGGAGUAUAUAGCUUAUCGACGACAAUUCAAUUCAAUUCAAUCCAACCAUCAGAGAAAUCUGACUAUGUUACUCUUUAGUUUAUUCCUAAUAAGCGCUGCUUGAAUAAAGUGAUAAGUGCAACAGCUCCGAUGAUGGCAAGAUAUUUAGCGAUUAGAGAUUGUUUCGUUUCCAAAGUACCAAGUACUUAUAACGAAAUAUAUACAAAAGCUCCCAAAUUCAAAAUUGCUGGGUGUACGGCGCCACCAAAAUACAGAACCGUCAUUCAUUUGUUCCAAUAUAACGCCAUUGUUCUCUGUAUUGUUUGCUAAUUGUUUCAACUUGUUGAACUAUUAGUGAUGGUCUAGUCCAAACGACACCUGGAAUGAGAGCGCAUUGAUGAAAGAGCUUCAACACAGCGCCCAAUCUCUCUUACUGUGGGAAUCUCAAACAUUGUCAAUGUUGUCACAUGUUGUUUGUUCGUAUACAAAGAAAUGCAAAUGCCAUCCACGCAUUCUGUUCAUCAUUAAAACUCUUUGAUUAAAUCCCUUGUACUGCAUUAAAUUUCAUGGCUGCAUAGAAGAAAAGUUACAUAGGAAAGAGCCAGCGAUUGCUACGAAUACUCGCUCGAUCUCACUCCACAGGCUGUUUCUUUAACAAUUUAUAUAAGAAUAUACAAAUAAGUAAAGUUUCAUAGAAAAGAAGAAAUGGAUUUUAUAGUGAAAAUGGGGAAUUUUAAAGUCCCUCAUUGCUUCAUCUAGCAACUCUUUCUUAUAUACAAUAACCGAAAUACGAUGCAUCGGUAAUUAACUGUUUACGCACACACAAUCUCUCAAUCUUCUCUCCUCUAAAAUAAAUGUCUCCAACCAAUUUGUUGAUAAAGAUAGAAUGGCUGUUGUAAUGUAGCAAACACUUAUCAGGGGAUGGAUGGAUGGAUGGAUGUUUUUCAUCAAGCACUUGUUUACAUGAGUGGGCGUUAGCUGAACACCGAGAGUCAUGUUCAUUCAAUUGUGCUAGUGUUUUAUAAUUUAUUUGUUUUCGUUUCAGUUUACUGUUUGUGUAGAAUGAAUACUAGUCAUGAAAGGAAAGAAUAAACCUUUCUGAAAAUGAAAUGACAUUGAGUGCAUAUUGUUGAAUAUGGAUAUGCUGUUGCUUCCAUACAUUUGGAAAUUUUGCAAACCUCUUUUUUUAUGUAUGUCCCGAUCAAUGUGUGUAUCCGUGGAUUACCAAGUUAUCAGUGAAUCGGCUUCCGUUCCUCCAUAUCUUUGAAUUGCUCUUUUUUCUGCCCUAAGCAGCGCAAUGCGCAUGAAGCGUUAUCAUUCAAUGUACCGAACAGAGUGGCAGUUGAGUGGCCCUUACCAAUCCGGCCUUUCAAAGUUUAUCUAAGAACCACUUGUUUGAGCUUAUCGACCAAUCACAGGCAAUGGAUCACCGUUCCUCCACUAACCACCUCGUAUCGCUAGAUUAGAGGGGUGACGUCAAGUGAACAUAUCGUGACUCGUUAAGUCAGCCAAGUAACGAAUUGCGAAAGGGAGGGCGCGCUUGAGAAAGUGCUAAUACAGCGAUGCAUGCAGAACAGUGGCAUUUGACGAAUAAUCAAGGGAGAAAGCAGAGAAGUAAAUGAACAGAAUUUUUUUAAAAAAAAUUAUAUUACAAUUGAAUUGAAUGGAUUUGGAAUUGAGUUUUGCCUGCUUUUUUACGGAAUCUCUGCUUCUAUCUGUCCAAACUCCCUUUGUUGAUGUUCGAGGGUUAGGGUACGGGUGGUGGAUAGACUAUAUAAACGAAAGAGGUAGCCCCCAUUGAGUCGUGUAUCAGUACGCUCCUCGUUACAAAGUCAAACGUCUUAGAACAAGUUGCAUUGGAAUUGAAUUUACCA
rnacentral:lncRNA from 1 species